GCCGCUGUGAUGGAAUUGGCAGACGUGCGAGACUCAAAAUCUCGUGGUAGUAAUACCGUGUCGGUUCGACCCCGACCAGCGGCACCA
rnacentral:tRNA from 1 species